CCGACGAAUAAGAUCUUCAACCUCACGGUCUUCUGUGUCGCUGGAGUCAUUCCCACCAUAGUCCUCUGAUUCCGAAGGCUGGCUAUAGCUAUAAUCAAGUCCCAUCUUUAGUAUAAAAAUGAGAGUAAAGAGAGAAUCACAAAAAAUCUGAAAUAUAGACGACACAAGCACUCAUACUUAAAUAGAUUGAGAUUGUAACAGCUAUAUUAUUAUUGGACCAUAAUACAACGACUAUAUUGUAUUUAAAUGUCUUUCUAACGGCUAGAUUGGCUACAC
rnacentral:lncRNA from 1 species